rnacentral:rRNA from 1 species
GACGGAGGGUGCUAGCGUUGUUCGGAUUCAUUGGGCGUAAAGGGUGCGUAGGCGGCGCGGUAAGUCGGGUGUGAAAUUUCGAGGCUUAACUUCGAAACUGCAUUCGAUACUGCCGUGCUUGAGGACUGGAGAGGAGACUGGAAUUUACGGUGUAGCGGUGAAAUGCGUAGAUAUCGUAAGGAAGACCAGUGGCGAAGGCGGGUCUCUGGACAGUUCCUGACGCUGAGGCACGAAGGCCAGGGGAGCAAACGGG